rnacentral:rRNA from 1 species
GAUGAACGCUGGCGGCGUGCCUAAUACAUGCAAGUCGAGCGAACAGACGAUGAGCUUGUUCCUGUGACGUUAGCGCCGGACGGGUGAGUAACACGUGAAUAACCCUCCUAUUCGACCGGGAUAACUUCGAGAAACCGGUGCUAAUACCGGAUAAAACAUCGAACCGCCUGGUCCAAUAGUGAAAGACGGUUUUGCUGUCACUAAUAGAUGGAUCAUUGCCGCAUUGGCUAGUUGGUAAGGUAACGGCUUACCAAGCCAACGAUGCGUCGCCGAGCUGAUAGGGUGAUCGGACAAACUGGCACUGAGACACGGUGCAGAGUCCUACGCGAGGAAGCAGUGGGGAAUCAUGGGACAUGGGCGAAAGCCUGACAGAGCAACGCCGCGUGAGUGAUGAAGGUCUUCGGAGCUUAAAACUCUGUUAUUCGGGAAGAAGAAAUGUGUAAGUAACUAUGCACGUCUUGACGGUACCUAAUCAGAAAGCCACGGCUAACUACGUG